AACGAACGCUGGCGGCAUGCUUAACACAUGCAAGUCGAACGGAUUUAUGGAGCUUGCUUCAUAGGUUAGUGGCAGACGGGUGAGUAACGCGUGGGAAUGUACCUUUUGGUUCGGAAUAACUGCGGGAAACUGUGGCUAAUACCGGAUAAGCCCGUGAGGGGAAAGAUUUAUCGCCAAAAGAGCAGCCCGCGUUAGAUUAGGUAGUUGGUGGGGUAAUGGCCUACCAAGCCUGCGAUCUAUAGCUGGUCUGAGAGGAUGAUCAGCCACACUGGGACGGAGACUCGGGCCGUACUCGUACGGGGGGCAGCAGUGGGGAAUAUUGGACAAGGGGGGAAACCCUGAUCCAGCAAUGCCGCGUGAGUGAUGAAGGCCUUCGGGUUGUAGAGCUCUUUUGUCAGGGACGAUGAUGACGGUACCUGACGAAUAAGCUCCGGCUAACUUCGUGCCAGCCGCCGCCGUAA
rnacentral:rRNA from 1 species